GACGGAGGGUGCAAGCGUUGUUCGGAAUUACUGGGCGUAAAGGGCGCGUAGGCGGUCUGUUAAGUUCGGUGUGAAAGCCCCCGGCUCACCUGGGGAACUGCGCCGGAAACCGACAGACUCGAGUACCGGAGAGGAGGGUGGAAUUCCUGGUGUAGCGGUGAAAUGCGUAGAUAUCAGGAGGAACACCUGUGGCGAAAGCGGCUCACUGGACCAUAACUGACGCUGGAUGCACGAAAAGCUAGGGGAGCAAACAGG
rnacentral:rRNA from 1 species